AGUGAACGCUGGCGGUAGGCCUAACACAUGCAAGUCGAACGGCAGCACAGUAAGAGCUUGCUCUUACGGGUGGCGAGUGGCGGACGGGUGAGGAAUACAUCGGAAUCUACUUUUUCGUGGGGGAUAACGUGGGGAAACUUACGCUAAUACCGCAUACGACCUACGGGUGAAAGCAGGGGAUCUUCGGACCUUGCGCGAUUGAAUGAGCCGAUGUCGGAUUAGCUAGUUGGCGGGGUAAAGGCCCACCAAGGCGACGAUCCGUAGCUGGUCUGAGAGGAUGAUCAGCCACACUGGAACUGAGAAACGUUCCAGACUCCUACGGGAGGCAGCAGUGGGGAAUAUUGGACAAUGGGCGCAAGCCUGAUCCAGCCAUACCGCGUGGGUGAAGAAGGCCUUCGGGUUGUAAAGCCCUUUUGUUGGGAAAGAAAAGCAGCAGGUUAAUACCCCGCUGUUCUGACGGUACCCAAAGAAUAAGCACCGGCUAACUUCGUG
rnacentral:rRNA from 1 species